rnacentral:rRNA from 1 species
UACGUAGGUGGCAAGCGUUGUCCGGAUUUAUUGGGUUUAAAGGGUGCGUAGGCGGCCCUGUAAGUCAGUGCUGAAAUACCCCGGCUUAACCGGGGGGGUGGCAUUGAUACUGCAGGGCUUGAGUACAGAAGGGGCAACUGGAAUUCUCGGUGUAGCGGUGAAAUGCGUAGAUAUCGAGAGGAACACCUGCGGCGAAGGCGGGUUGCUGGGCUGACACUGACGCUGAUGCGCGACAGCGUGGGGAGCAAACAGG